rnacentral:rRNA from 1 species
UGGGGAAUAUUGGACAAUGGGGGGAACCCUGAUCCAGCAAUGCCGCGUGUGUGAAGAAGGCCUGAGGGUUGUAAAGCACUUUCAGAGGGGAGGAGGACUAUUAGGUUAAGAGCUAGAUAGUUGGACGUUACCCUCAGAAGCAGCACCGGCUAACUUCGUGCCAGCAGCCGCGGUAAUACGAAGGGAGCAAGCGUUGUUCGGAUUUACUGGGCGUAAAGGGUGCGUAGGCGGUUUGGUAAGUUGGACGUGAAAGCCCUGGGCUUAACCCGGGAACUGCGUUCAAAACUACUAGACUCGAGUAUGGAAGAGGUUGGUGGAAUUCCAAGUGUAGAGGUGAAAUUCGUAGAUAUUUGGAAGGACACCCGUGGCGAAGGCGGCCAACUGGUCCAUAACUGACGCUGAGGCACGAAAGCGUGGGGAGCAAACAGGAUUAGAUACCCACGUAGUCCCUGAGCGGGCUGGCAAGGCGCAU